GACGAACGCUGGCGGCGUGCCUAACACAUGCAAGUCGAACGGGGUUAAGCCCGACACCGGGGAUUCAGUGGGAACUGAGUUCCGGGUGUUGGACUUAAUUCAGUGGCGGACGGGUGAGUAACGCGUGAGGAACCUGCCUUUCAGAGGGGGAUAACGUCUGGAAACGGACGGUAAUACCGCAUGACAUCGGAUGGUCACAUGGCCGACCGAUCAAAGGAGCAAUCCGCUGAGAGAUGGACUCGCGUCCGAUUAGCCAGUUGGCGGGGUAACGGCCCACCAAAGCCGCGAUCGGUAGCCGGACUGAGAGGUUGAACGGCCACAUUGGGACUGAGACACGGCCCAGACUCCUACGGGAGGCAGCAGUGGGGGAUAUUGCACAAUGGAGGAAACUCUGAUGCAGCAACGCCGCGUGAGGGAAGAAGGUCUUCGGAUUGUAAACCUCUGUCCCCAGGGACGAUAAUGACGGUACCUGAGGAGGAAGCUCCGGCUAACUACGUG
rnacentral:rRNA from 1 species